GGUUAAGCGACUAAGCGUACACGGUGGAUGCCCUGGCAGUCAGAGGCGAUGAAGGACGUGCUAAUCUGCGAAAAGCGCCGGCGAGGUGAUAUGAACCCUUGACCCGGCGAUGUCCGAAUGGGGAAACCCAGUGCAAUCCGUUGCACUAUCGUUAACUGAAUACAUAGGUUAACGAGGCGAACCGGGGGAACUGAAACAUCUAAGUACCCCGAGGAAAAGAAAUCAACCGAGAUUCCCCCAGUAGCGGCGAGCGAACGGGGAGCAGCCCGGAGUCUGAAUCAGCUUGUGUGUUAGUGGAACGGUCUGGAAAGUCCGACGGUACAGGGUGAUAGUCCCGUACACGAAAGCACACUUGCUGUGAACUCGAAGAGUAGGGCGGGACACGUGGUAUCCUGUCUGAAUAUGGGGGGACCAUCCUCCAAGGCUAAAUACUCCUGACUGACCGAUAGUGAACCAGUACCGUGAGGGAAAGGCGAAAAGAACCCCGGCGAGGGGAGUGAAAAAGAACCUGAAACCGUGUACGUACAAGCAGUGGGAGCCUCUUUAUGGGGUGACUGCGUACCUUUUGUAUAAUGGGUCAGCGACUUAUAUUCUGUAGCAAGGUUAACCGUAUAGGGGAGCCGAAGGGAAACCGAGUCUUAACUGGGCGUUAAGUUGCAGGGUAUAGACCCGAAACCCGGUGAUCUAGCCAUGGGCAGGUUGAAGGUUGGGUAACACUAACUGGAGGACCGAACCGACUAAUGUUGAAAAAUUAGCGGAUGACCUGUGGCUGGGGGUGAAAGGCCAAUCAAACCGGGAGAUAGCUGGUUCUCCCCGAAAGCUAUUUAGGUAGCGCCUCGUGAACUCAUCUUCGGGGGUAGAGCACUGUUUCGGCUAGGGGGCCAUCCCGGCUUACCAACCCGAUGCAAACUACGAAUACCGAAGAAUGUUAUCACGGGAGACACACGGCGGGUGCUAACGUCCGUCGUGAAGAGGGAAACAACCCAGACCGCCAGCUAAGGUCCCAAAGUCAUGGUUAAGUGGGAAACGAUGUGGGAAGGCACAGACAGCCAGGAUGUUGGCUUAGAAGCAGCCAUCAUUUAAAGAAAGCGUAAUAGCUCACUGGUCGAGUCGGCCUGCGCGGAAGAUGUAACGGGGCUAAACCAUGCACCGAAGCUGCGGCAGCGACACUUAUGUGUUGUUGGGUAGGGGAGCGUUCUGUAAGCCGUUGAAGGUGUGCUGUGAGGCAUGCUGGAGGUAUCAGAAGUGCGAAUGCUGACAUAAGUAACGAUAAAGCGGGUGAAAAGCCCGCUCGCCGGAAGACCAAGGGUUCCUGUCCAACGUUAAUCGGGGCAGGGUGAGUCGACCCCUAAGGCGAGGCCGAAAGGCGUAGUCGAUGGGAAACAGGUUAAUAUUCCUGUACUUGGUGUUACUGCGAAGGGGGGACGGAGAAGGCUAUGUCAGCCGGGCGACGGUUGUCCCGGUUUAAGCAUGUAGGCGGAGGUUCCAGGUAAAUCCGGUACCUUGUUAACGCUGAGGUGUGAUGACGAGGCACUACGGUGCUGAAGUGAUAAAUGCCCUGCUUCCAGGAAAAGCCUCUAAGCAUCAGGUAACACGAAAUCGUACCCCAAACCGACACAGGUGGUCAGGUAGAGAAUACCAAGGCGCUUGAGAGAACUCGGGUGAAGGAACUAGGCAAAAUGGUGCCGUAACUUCGGGAGAAGGCACGCUGAUGUGUAGGUGAAGCCCCUGCGGGCGGAGCUGAAAUCAGUCGAAGAUACCAGCUGGCUGCAACUGUUUAUUAAAAACACAGCACUGUGCAAACACGAAAGUGGACGUAUACGGUGUGACGCCUGCCCGGUGCCGGAAGGUUAAUUGAUGGGGUUAGCGGCAACGCGAAGCUCUUGAUCGAAGCCCCGGUAAACGGCGGCCGUAACUAUAACGGUCCUAAGGUAGCGAAAUUCCUUGUCGGGUAAGUUCCGACCUGCACGAAUGGCGUAAUGAUGGCCAGGCUGUCUCCACCCGAGACUCAGUGAAAUUGAACUCGCUGUGAAGAUGCAGUGUACCCGCGGCAAGACGGAAAGACCCCGUGAACCUUUACUAUAGCUUGACACUGAACACUGGUCCUUGAUGUGUAGGAUAGGUGGGAGGCUUUGAAGCGUGGACGCCAGUCUGCGUGGAGCCGUCCUUGAAAUACCACCCUUUAAUGGCUGGUGUUCUAACGUAGACCCGUAAUCCGGGUUGCGGACAGUGUCUGGUGGGUAGUUUGACUGGGGCGGUCUCCUCCCAAAGAGUAACGGAGGAGCACGAAGGUUGGCUAAUCCUGGUCGGACAUCAGGAGGUUAGUGCAAUGGCAUAAGCCAGCUUGACUGCGAGCGUGACGGCGCGAGCAGGUGCGAAAGCAGGUCAUAGUGAUCCGGUGGUUCUGAAUGGAAGGGCCAUCGCUCAACGGAUAAAAGGUACUCCGGGGAUAACAGGCUGAUACCGCCCAAGAGUUCAUAUCGACGGCGGUGUUUGGCACCUCGAUGUCGGCUCAUCACAUCCUGGGGCUGAAGUAGGUCCCAAGGGUAUGGCUGUUCGCCAUUUAAAGUGGUACGCGAGCUGGGUUUAGAACGUCGUGAGACAGUUCGGUCCCUAUCUGCCGUGGGCGCUGGAGAAUUGAGGGGGGCUGCUCCUAGUACGAGAGGACCGGAGUGGACGCAUCACUGGUGUUCGGGUUGUCAUGCCAAUGGCACUGCCCGGUAGCUAAAUGCGGAAGAGAUAAGUGCUGAAAGCAUCUAAGCACGAAACUUGCCCCGAGAUGAGUUCUCCCUGAGACUUUAAGUCUCCUGAAGGAACGUUGAAGACGACGACGUUGAUAGGUCGGGUGUGUAAGCGCAGCGAUGCGUUGAGCUAACCGAUACUAAUGAACCGUGAGGCUUAACCUU
rnacentral:rRNA from 1 species